GUGAGGAAUUUUCCGCAAUGGGCGAAAGCCUGACGGAGCAAUGCCGCGUGAAGGAUGAAGGCCUAUGGGUUGUAAACUUCUUUUCUUAGAGAAGAAUAUUGACGGUAUCUGAGGAAUAAGCAUCGGCUAACUCUGUGCCAGCAGCCGCGGUAAGACAGAGGAUGCAGGCGUUAUCCGGAAUGAUUGGGCGUAAAGCGUCUGUAGGUGGCUUCAAAAGUCUCCUGUCAAAGAUCAGGGCUUAACCCUGGGCCGGCAGUAGAAACUCUGAGGCUAGAGUUUGGUAGGGGCAGAGGGAAUUCCCGGUGGAGCGGUGAAAUGCGUAGAGAUCGGGAGGAACACCAAAGGCGAAAGCACUCUGCUGGGCCACAACUGACACUGAGAGACGAAAGCGAGGGGAGCAAAAGGGAUUAGAAACCCCUGUAGUCC
rnacentral:rRNA from 1 species